GACGAACGCUGGCGGCGUGCUUAACACAUGCAAGUCGAACGGAAAGGCCCUGCUCUUGUUGGGUGCUCGAGUGGCGAACGGGUGAGUAACACGUGAGUAACCUGCCCCUGUCUUUGGGAUAACUUCAGGAAACUGGGGCUAAUACCGGAUAGGAGCUCCUGCUGCAUGGUGGGGGUUGGAAAGUUUCGGCGGUUGGGGCUGGACUAGCGGCUUAUCAGCUUGUUUGGGGGGUAGUGGCUUACCAAGGCUUUGACGGGUAGCCGGCCUGAGAAGGUGACCGGCCACAUUGGGACUAAGAUACGGCCCAGAAUCCUACGGGAGGCAGCAGUGGGGAAUAUUGCACAAUGGGCGGAAGCCUGAUGCAGCAACGCCGCGUGCGGGAUGACGGCCUUCGGGUUGUAAACCGCUUUCGCCGGUGACGAAGCGUGAGUGACGGUAAUGGGUAAAGAAGCACCGGCUAACUACGUG
rnacentral:rRNA from 1 species